rnacentral:tRNA from 1 species
GGACAUAGCUCAGUGGUAGAGCACUUGCCUAGCAUGUGGAAGGACCUGGGUUCCAUCCCCAGAACCA